AUUAGUUCCUUUAAAUUGAUGUUAAUUUUCUGCCUCUCUAGGUGGGCUAUUCCUGAAAUCAUGCUCCUGGAAAGCAUAGGAAGCACAAAUUUCUUCAAGACCCAGCAGCUCCUGUCCACAAGACAUCCUGUAUGACUAGGCAAACUGAAUAAACAUUACAAUACAUGGUAAGAGAGGCUUGAGCAUGUUUACGUACUAAAGGAAGAACAGAAGCGAAGCUCUGAA